GACGAACGCUGGCGGCGUGCUUAACACAUGCCAGUCGAACGGAAAGGCCCUGCUUUUGUGGGGUGCUCGAGUGGCGAACGGGUGAGUAACACGUGAGUAACCUGCCCUUGACUUUGGGAUAACUUCAGGAAACUGGGGCUAAUACCGGAUAGGAGCUCCUGCUGCAUGGUGGGGGUUGGAAAGUUUCGGCGGUUGGGGAUGGACUCGCGGCUUAUCAGCUUGUUGGUGGGGUAGUGGCUUACCAAGGCUUUGACGGGUAGCCGGCCUGAGAGGGUGACCGGCCACAUUGGGACUGAGAUACGGCCCAGAUUCCUACGGGAGGCAGCAGUGGGGAAUAUUGCACAAUGGGCGGAAGCCUGAUGCAGCAACGCCGCGUGCGGGAUGACGGCCUUCGGGUUGUAAACCGCUUUCGCCUGUGACGAAGCGUGAGUGACGGUAAUGGGUAAAGAAGCACCGGCUAACUACGUG
rnacentral:rRNA from 1 species